AAGCUGGGCUGUCAUGGUAUUCAGCUUGUCCUUCUCUCUCUAAAACUCUGUAGAAUUUGAGGUUUACAGAUCGAUGAUGAUAUGCCCAUUUUAUUCUGGAUUCUGGAGAAAGAAAUCCAUCCAAAGGCCGUUCAUCAGUCUUCUCUCACAAUGGAAAUCUGAGCUUCGUUUCAGGUGGGUUCUCUCAUCGCGCAGCUUAGUUCUCUGUUGCAAGCGAGACUGACAUGCCUUUCUCCCACUGAACCUGUGCAACAUUCAGAAUUCACAGAUUGCCAAUAAUGCACGUCUAAGUCAGGAUUUUGGGGGAAAAAAGGUUCAGAGGUCGUUGAUCGAAAAGGGAAAUUUGAGCUCGGAUAAAAAAUGGGUAUUCUUCUCAUCGCUCUCUUAUUUCGUGGAUCUCACUACCAGAUAUGAACUUGGAGAUUAUCUUUUUCUAUCUAACUCCAUUACUUCUCUCUCUCUCUCUCUCUCCAAAUUAGUUCAUGUUAUACCGAUUUAUAUAGGUAUCUUUUAUUUACUUUUUGCUGAUCAGCCACAGCAUGCUGAACUCAGGUGUGAUGGUCUGACUGGAGACUAGUUCAAAGUCAACCAGCGAUCAAAGGUGUGAUUGAUUUAUUGAGGCAUCCAAGUAGGCCCAGACAUUUCGACUGUUGACUUUGCUUUUUCUAUUAUAGUAGACUUUACUUCUUUAAUUAAGAGCAAAUGGUCAUCAAUUGACAAGAUCUUAAAAUCAAUGUGGGACCAUUGCGAAUUUCGUCACUUAAAUACCAUGAUAAUUGGCUAGGAAUGUUGCCCAGCCCAUUAUUCGAUUAACUUAUGAUCAUAAAAAUAAGGGCCCAUUAUUGGAGGGGGAGUAAAUUUUCUAGGGAGAGUUGUAAGGGGUAUAUGGACCCCUAAGGACUAGGUAAAAGUGUCACGGAAAAGGAGAACCACUGAGAGAGUUGGAGAUUCUCUAUGGUUAAUUGUCAUAGUGACUCUAGAGUUUCAUGUGGGGAUCUUUUCUCUCAUUAACAAUGCAAUGUUCUAAUUAUUUUUAUUAAUUGAUAUCAGAGUCAUGACACCCAAAAAUUGUGAUAAGCAGUAAAAUAACUUGGAGAAGUAAAUCAUGAUUAUAGAGAGCACAAAAUAGCUCACACAUAUGUUGGUGAAACUUUUACAAAAAUAAGGUAGUAAUUAGUUUGGGUUAACCACAAACUAACAUGAACUAGAGGAUGAUUGAUUCUCAUAAGACUAGAUCAUGAAUAGUCUAUAGAAUACCCAGAGUGGGUAGUUGGGGAGGAUGUUUUGUAGGAUUGCCCAUUUUCAAAUUGAGAAAUUGCAACAAGUAGGUCUUUCAGUCUCAAAUGUACUUCAAGAUGUAAAGUAUCAACAAAAGUAAUCACUUGAAGGAUAUAGUAGUCAUAAUAAAUGAGAAAGCUCUAGUGUGGUUUAGGUUGAUAAACACCUAAGAACCAUUUAAAUAUUAGAAAAAUGUUAAUAAACUCAUAAGUAGGUGGUUUGAAUCACAAUUAACCUAACUACUCUUGGUUUGAUUUUGAAAUAUCAAGCAUUGAUGGUAAAUAAUUAAGCACAUGCAAAAAUUUGAGUUAUUGUCUACUACACUUCAUGGAAUUUGAAAAGAUGCUCUGAAUAGUACCUUUGUUAAGUGACUAAAACUAGAAAUUGAUGUGGAGGUGGUCAUUCAAACUCACAUGACUUGAUGAUAUUAUGCAACUUGCCCAAAUGGUAAUGGUAAAGAAUGACACUCUUAAAAUUAUUGCAAAGCUGAAAAACUAUAAGAUGAUGAUGUACAUGUUGUUAGAGUGAAUUAGAGCAGUCAACUCAAUGGAUGAGUAAAAACAUUAAGGACCUCUUACAAGUAAGGGGAACAAUUAGAGUGAAAAAAUACGCUCAUUAAGGGACAUGAAAAUAUACCAACAAAAAACAAUUAAUCUUAGCAAAAUCUGAAGUACAAGAAAGGCAUACCAAGAGUCUAUAUUUUUCUCACGAUGGUCAAAAAUACCAAUCAGGCUAUGUUUAUGAAAAAUAAUUAUAAUUAUUUAUUUUUAUGAAGACAUUAAAAACUUGGGUGGGGAAAUGGGACAAAUCACAACUUAGAC
rnacentral:lncRNA from 1 species